AACGAACGCUGGCGGCAUGCCUAACACAUGCAAGUCGAACGAGACCUUCGGGUCUAGUGGCGCACGGGUGCGUAACGCGUGGGAACCUGCCCUUAGGUUCGGAAUAACUCCCCGAAAGGGGUGCUAAUACCGGAUAAUGUCUUCGGACCAAAGAUUUAUCGCCUUUGGAUGGGCCCGCGUUGGAUUAGCUAGUUGGUAGGGUAAAAGCCUACCAAGGCGACGAUCCAUAGCUGGUCUGAGAGGAUGAUCAGCCACACUGGGACUGAGACACGGCCCAGACUCCUACGGGAGGCAGCAGUGGGGAAUACUGGACAAUGGGCGAAAGCCUGAUCCAGCAAUGCCGCGUGAGUGAUGAAGGCCUUAGGGUUGUAAAGCUCUUUUACCCGGGAUGAUAAUGACAGUACCGGGAGAAUAAGCACCGGCUAACUACGUG
rnacentral:rRNA from 1 species